rnacentral:snoRNA from 1 species
UGGAAGUGUUCUCUGUCCUCCCUAUGAGACCCAGUAUGCCAUGACUGGUACUGUCUGUAGUCUGUUGCUUGUACAGGUUGCCCUAAGGGACCUUGGAGACAAGC